rnacentral:lncRNA from 1 species
GGGAAGCCAGGAAUACAAAAACAAGGGCUCGAAGGGAAGCUCGAGAGAAACCCAAAGUACACAAAAAGCAUUGAUAUUGAGAGCUAUAGAGUUGUCAGUGUAGUUUGAAAAUAAAUGAGAUCUAUUUGUCCAAAGUCGCGUAAGAGCUUUAUUAUCUUCCUAAACUUUCGUGAACGAUUUUUUCUGACCCUUAAAAGUUAUGUUAUUUCUUUCAAUCCAAAUAUACCAAAUGAGUGACAACCACUGUCAUGUUGAAGAUGAUAGCUUAUAUUCUAUCUUUUUUAAGAGAAAGAUAUUUUUGCAUAGUGAGGGAGUAACUUGGGAGUUUUAUUUGUCCAGCUUCAUAAGGCUUCCAAAUUCUCUCAAAGUCUUCGAACAAAGGUGCAAAAGAUGAACAUAUCGUUUAUGUCUUCUUUAGCUUCCAAAUUUUCAUUUGGCUUCGUAGAAUGAACUAAGAACAUUGGUACGAUACAUUGGAAACACAUUUUUUAUUAAGUCUAGCAUCAUAUCAAAUGACUUGUUACUCCAACCGUUUAAAACAUUUACAUACAUCAUCUUAACAAAAAUCUUCAGGGAAGAGUAUUGAGAACAAUUAGGGUAUAACUCACUACGAGUUUCAUUCAAUAAGUUUUGAAAUAUGUUUGUUGUUUCUUCUUCUAUAUCUAUCCCAAUAUUGAAGGGCUUCUCAUUCUCCAAACAUUCCUCUAUUUUCCAUUUGUGUUCAAUCGAAGCUUGUAAAUAGUUAAUCAUAUCAAACAUUUCAUCUUCUUCAUCAAAAGGGUUGCUACUAGUUCCUUCAUCAAAAGGGUUACUAUUGGUUCCUUCAUCAAACCUUUUGAUAUAUACCUUUAUGGAAGUUCAUUGCCUCUCCAUGAUACAACCAUUUUGUAUAGGAGCUGGGGGAUAUUCCGAUGGUCAAUAGAUGUCGCUCCACACCCUCUAAUGAGUACCAAUUUGUCUUCAUACAUCUCUUAUAUGGACUCUUUAUUCGUCUGUAAGCAUCGACAUGGAACUUGGCAAUCUCUAAAAAUUGUGACACACCCUUGCUAUGUUCAACCCAUAACUUAUUCCUAACUUUCAUAUAACUCUUGUUCAUCAUUAAAGACUAAAACAUAAAUACGUUUGAUCAUUAGUCCUAUAUUCCUCCUAUCAAACACUAAACUCAAUUACUCCUUGAAUAAGCUAUGCCAAAUCCUUCCAAUCUUUUAACUAAAGCUAAGUUCAAACUACAAAGGCUACCAUAAUUGUAGGAUAGCCAGAACAAACUAACCAAACACCCUAUUAUAUCUAAUUAAUUUUAAACCAAAUUUGCACUAAAAAGAAGAGACUACCAUCAUUAAUUCCAAGAGAGUCAUAAGAGAUCAACAACAAAUUCGUAGUAGUUCUAACAAACGAAACUGUUAAAAAAUAAACAACAAUAAAAUUUGAACUAAAU